rnacentral:lncRNA from 1 species
GCUGUUUGUGAGUGAUUUUGAGUGUGGUGUGAGUUUUUGUUGUGUGGAGUAAAAAAGAGUGAGAAGUAAAGAGUGUUGUGAGUUGUGUGUGUUUUAUAUUUUUCUUUAGGGAUAUUUUAGAUAAUGUACCACAUAAAAAGGUAUAUCUAGAUAAUUUUCAAGCAUGGGGUAUAUUUAACUAAAUACUCUACUUUUAAGGCAUAUUUAAUUAAAAACCCCAUCUCUAGAAGUAGUUCCGAAUAUAAAAUUCUCUUCUCUAGUACCAAGAGAUUCUGCAAUUCUAGGUCACUUGAGGACACUGUUGUCGCCUUGCACGCAGAAGAUAUGAUAGCUUUGUAACGGCAAAGAGGGGUUACAUAUAAGCUUUGUAACCGUUGCAAAUGCUUUUUAACUGUAUUUUUGGCGUGCAGUAACAAAAGGUAGUAACGGUCACCAAAAUAAAUAACCACCUAAAUGCGGUCACAUAAAGUAAUGGGUUGGAUGCAAGUUUUGUGACUGGUGGAAGCUGUCACAAAUUUGUAAUGCUUAAUUUUUUCAUAAUUUUGUGAUAUUUGAUUAUUUGUCAAUAUUUUAU